UACGUAGGUGGCGAGCGUUGUCCGGAUUUACUGGGCGUAAAGGGAGCGUAGGCGGACUUUUAAGUGAGAUGUGAAAUACUCGGGCUCAGCUUGAGUGCUGCACUUCAAACUGGAAGUCUAGAGUGCAGGAGAGGAGAAUGGAAUUCCUAGUGUAGCGGUGAAAUGCGUAGAGAUUAGGAAGAACACCAGUGGCGAAGGCGAUUCUCUGGACUGUAACUGACGCUGAGGCUCGAAAGCGUGGGGAGCAAACAGG
rnacentral:rRNA from 1 species